AGAAUAAAUGAUUCCCCGAUCCAGAUGUUUGAUGUGCAAACAGGGAAAGAUGUGAUCCCUGCUAGUAAACUGCCUGCUGGGGAAACCAUUGUGCAACAUAGAAGCUUCCCUAACUAGGUGACCAACACAUCCAUUGUCACAAGGCUACCUCUGUCGCUGCCCUCCAUGUGAGCUGCUGUGUGUUGAAAACACUGGAAGCAGCCUCCCCAGCAAGUUUUCGCCUGCUGGAGAUCUGUCUCUGAGACAAAUAUAGAGGAUGGAGAUGUUUGUCGGCUUGUCUGCCAUCAAAGACCCAAUUGCUUCCUGCGUUGCAGGAAAUGAAGUGCAGCCUCUCAGCCCCGUCCACCUCCACAAGUGACUGUCAGUGGAGAACAAGCUGAAGCAGUUGGACUUGCUCUGAGUUCCCAGAUCUGAGCCAAUUCAAAGCUCACAAUGUCAUUAAACCACCAGUACUUGGAGGAGAGCUUAAACACUGCUUUGUCCAGUUACUUUCAAAGAGAGUUUCUAGGAAGAGCUAUUCCAAAUAUCAGUCUGUCAUUUUCACCACCGAAGGUAAAAUCGGGGUUUGUUUUGUUUUGUUUUGUUUUGUUUUGUUUUGUUUUGCUUUAUUUGAACAGGCACCUCUCACUUCCUAGCUGAUACCCUUGGUGGUGUCAGUGACCUUCAGAUUCAUCCACGUUUCUCCUGAACAAGUACAGAGCCACGUGCUGUGCUCCCUGCUCAAGUCUUAGACAGUUUGCCCUGCAUUGCUUUCUCUUUUUUCCCCAUUGAUUAAUUUAUUUACUACUUUACAUCUGGAUGAAUCAUAUCCUCCCUUCUCUCUCUCCUCCCAGUCCCUCCCUUUCCCCUUGCCCCCAGCCCCUCCCUCCACACCUCCUCCAAGCUUAUCAUCUGUGGCUCCCUGUCCCCAUCUGGGGCUCCUGCCCUGCCCGUCUUGUCACUUACAAUACACUAGACUCAGAUAUUUGCCUGACUACCCCUGUUCAUCACUCAGAGCUGGCUCAAAUAUGACCUUUGAGAGAGCCUUCCCUACCAUCUCAUCGUGUAGUUUCCUCCCUAUGCCCUCUGGGUCAAUCACAUGGUUUGGGUUUGCUUGUUCCCAGCUGUGUGCAUCCCUCUAGGCUGAGCCUUUGACCUGUGUAUGUUCUAUCUCCUCACUCUAGUGUCAGCUCCAGGAGAAAGACCCUGCCCCUAUCCUGCCCUGCUUCUGGGCUGCUUUAAAUUGCUCUUUGUGUUAUACACUGCUGUGACUUUAAAAAAAAAAUCAUUUCCAAAGACACUUUCUGUUUCCCAGAAAUUUUUAAAGUGUGCAGUGCAGGAAGAGACAGGAAGAAGAAGGGACUGGAUUGAAAGAAAAUGGUCCCUUGUGAUCUGGUGACAGAGCCGGACAGAGCAGAUGUCAUAAGACUCCAGUUAUUUUCCAGCUCUGGUGUGACAGUGGUGUGACCAGCAGCCAGUCAUACCACCCUGCCUUUCACAACCUUGAAGAGACACGUCACUCAGCUCUCUAAACCAGUUUGUCAGCUUCAUCAGUCCAGCACACAAGAGCGUCUAAGCAGCAGUCAACAGAGCUGAGAGAAAUCAAAAAGGGGAAAAAAAACAACAAAAAACUAGGAGAAAGCUGUAAUUCUUCUCCUAAGUCAACAGACAAUGCAAUAGACGUUCACUGACUUUAAAACAGUAAGCACUGGGGUUUUGAGAAAACAGCUGAUGACCUUAAGAAUCAAGAAAGCAUGUCAGCAAUAGACGAAAUAGAACCACUGUGUAUAUGGCAUAGAGCAAUGUUUCCAAUC
ensembl:lincRNA Gm38335 predicted gene, 38335